rnacentral:rRNA from 1 species
UGCGUAGGUGGCAUGGUAAGUCGGAUGUGAAAUCCCGGGGCUCAACCCCGGAACUGCAUUCGAUACUGCUGCGCUAGAGUACUGGAGAGGAGAUUGGAAUUUACGGUGUAGCAGUGAAAUGCGUAGAUAUCGUAAGGAAGACCAGUGGCGAAGGCGGAUCUCUGGACAGUUACUGACACUGAGGCACGAAGGCCAGGGGAGCAAACG